ACAUGAACCUACAUCACAUACAUAUCAUUCAUAUCAUAGCAUUAAUGCACAUGUAUAUUAUCAUGGCAUUUCACAUCAUUAUACAAGACAGGACUCCACAUCCUAUCCUAGUGGACAUGAUCUUUCCUAUUGUGCUUGACCUUCUAUAACAUCUAUGAGCCCGACACUCUAGGUCCGACCAUAUGAACCUAGGGCUCUGAUACCAUUCUGUAACGACCCGAAAAUCGGAC
rnacentral:lncRNA from 1 species